GACAGAGGAGCCAAGCGUUGUCCGGAUUGACUGGGCGUAAAGCGCACGCAGGCGGGUGCGCGCGUGGGGUGUGAAACCUGGCCGCUUAACGGCCAGCGGCCAUCCCAUACGGCGCGCCUGGAGCCUUGCAGAGGGCGGUGGAAUUGCCGGUGUAGUGGUGAAAUGCGCAGAUAUCAGGAGGAACACCGAUGGCGAAGGCAGGUCUCUGGGCCACUACUGACGCUGAGAAGCGAAAGCAUGGGGAGCGAACAGGG
rnacentral:rRNA from 1 species